rnacentral:rRNA from 1 species
AAAGACCCCGUGCACCUUUACUAUAGCUUCGUAUUGACCCUGGAUAAGUAAUGUGUAGGAUAGCUAGGAGACUUUGAAGCGGCGUCGCCAGGCGUUGUGGAGUCAUUGUUGAAAUACCACCCUUUGCUUAUCUAGAGUCUAACUUUCACUGAAAGGACAGUGCUUGGUGGGUAGUUUGACUGGGGUGGUCGCCUCCAAAAGAGUAACGGAGGC